rnacentral:rRNA from 1 species
GUUUGAUGGUAUCUACUACUCGGAUAACUGUACUAAUUCUAGAGCUAAUACGUGCAACAAACCCCGACUUCUGGAAGCGAUGCAUUUAUUAGAUAAAAGGUUGAUGCGGGCUCUGCCAGUUGCUGCGAUGAUUCAUGAUAACUCGACGCAUCAUUCAAAUUUCUGCCCUAUGAACUUUUGAUGGUAGGACAAUGGCCUACCAUGGUGGUGACGGGUGAUGGAGAAUAAGGGUUCGAUUCUGGAGAGGGAUCCUGUGAAACGGUUACCACAUCCAAGGAAAGCAUCUGGCGUGCAAAUUACCCAAUCCUGACACGGGGAGGUAGUGACAAUAAAUAAAAAUACUGGGAUCCAUGAGUCCGAUUAUUGGAAUGAGUACAAUCUAAAUCCCUUAACGAGGAUCCUUUGGAGGGCAAGUCUGGUGCCAGCAGUCGCGGUAAUUCCAGCUCCCAUAGCGUAUAUUUAAGUUGUUGCAAUAAAAAAUCUCGUAGUUGGACUUUGGGAUGGGCCGGCCGGUCCGCCCUAGAUGUGCACCGGUCGUCUCGUCCCUUCUGUCGGGCGAUGUGCUCAUGGCGUUUAAUGGCCGGGUCGUGCCUCCGACGCUGUUACUUUGAAGAACUAGAGUGCUCAAAGAAAGCCUACGCUUUGUAUACAUUAGCAUGGGAUAACAUUAUAGGAUUUCGGUCAUAUUACGUUGGCCUUCAGGAUCGGAGUAAUGAUUAACAAGGAUAGUCGGGGACAUUCGUAUUUCAUAGUCAGAGGUGAAAUGCUUGGAUUUAUGAAAGAUGAACAACUGCGAAAGCAUUUGCCAAGAAUAUUUUCAUUAACCAAGAACGAAAUUUGGAGCUCGAAGAUGAUUAGAUACCGUCCUAGUCUCAACCAUAAACGAUGCUGACCAGGGAUCGACGGAUGCUGCUUUUAGGACUCCGCCGCCACCUUAUGAGAAAUCAAAGUUUUUGGGUUCUGGGGGGAGUAUGGUUGCAAGGCUGAAACUUAAAGGAAUUAACGGAAGGGCACCACCAUGAGUUGAGCCUGCGGCUUUAUUUGACUCAACACGGGGAAACUUACAAGGUCCAAACAUAGUAAGGAUUGACAGACUGAGAGCUCUUUCUUGAUUGUACUGGUGGUGGUGCAUGUCCGUUCUUAAUUGGUGAAGGAUUUGUCUGGUUAAUUCCGUUAACGAAUGAGACCUCAUCCUGCUAACUAGCUAUGCGGAGGUAUCCCUUCUCGGCAAGCUUCUUAGAGGGACUAUGGCCUUUUAGGCCGCGGAUGUUUGAGGCAAUAACAGGUCUGUGAUGCGCUUAGAUGUUAUGGGCCGCACGCGCGCUACACUGAUUAUUCAACGAGCUUAUAGCCUUGGCCAACAGGCCCGGGUAAUCUUUGAAAUUUCAUCGUGAUAGGGAUAUAUCAUUGCAUUUAUUCGUUUUCAACGAGGAAUUCCUAAUAAGCGCGAGUCAUCAGCUCCCGUUGACUACGUCCAUGCCCUUUGUACACACCGCCCGUCGCUCUUACCGAUUGAAUGAUUUAGUGACAUUUUUGGAUCGCGGCGACAUGGGCGGUUCGCUGCCCGCGAAGUCGUGAGAAGUCCAUUUAACCUUAUCAUUUAGAGGAAGGAGAAGUCGUAAAAAGGUUUCCAUAGGUGAACCUACGGAAG